ACUCCUACGGGAGGCAGCAGUGGGGAAUAUUGCACAAUGGGCGCAAGCCUGAUGCAGCCAUGCCGCGUGUGUGAAGAAGGCCUUGGGUUGUAAAGCACUUUCAGUCGUGAGGAAGGUAGUGUAGUUAAUAGCUGCAUUAUUUGACGUUAGCGACAGAAGAAGCACCGGCUAACUCCGUGCCAGCAGCCGCGGUAAUACGGAGGGUGCGAGCGUUAAUCGGUAAUUACUGGGCGUAAAGCGCAUGCAGGUGGUUGUUAAGUCAGAUGUGAAAGCCCGGGGCUCAACCUCGGAAUAGCAUUUGAAACUGGCAGACUAGAGUACUGUAGAGGGGGUAGAAUUUCAGGUGUAGCGGUGAAAUGCGUAGAGAUCUGAAGGAUACCGGUGGCGAAGGCGGCCCCUGGACAGAUACUGACACUCAGAUGCGAAAGCGUGGGAGCAAACAGGAUUAGAUACCCCUGGUAGCGACUGA
rnacentral:rRNA from 1 species